rnacentral:rRNA from 1 species
UACGGAGGGUGCAAGCGUUAAUCGGAAUUACUGGGCGUAAAGCGUGCGUAGGCGGUUAUUUAAGUCAGAUGUGAAAGCCCCGGGCUUAACCUGGGAACUGCAUUUGAUACUGGGUAACUAGAGUUUGGUAGAGGGGAGUGGAAUUUCCGGUGUAGCGGUGAAAUGCGUAGAUAUCGGAAGGAACACCAGUGGCGAAGGCGGCUCUCUGGACCAAAACUGACGCUGAGGUACGAAAGCGUGGGUAGCAAACAGG